rnacentral:lncRNA from 1 species
AUUGGUUGUUCAAAACAUUACAAAGCUCAUGACCAAAGUAGAGUUUUAAGAUUGGUUUUGAUGUUGACAUUACAAGAAAGUGUGUAAAAGCCAUAUUCUGUCAGAACAGAGUAAGUUGGAGUACAGAUAGACCACAGUUAGACACCUAUUCUGGGCCAGGCAGUGCUCUUCUCUCAUGGAGUUUACAUAAGUUGAAGGAUACAGAAAAGAUAUAAAUCUAAAAGAUGUCAGUGGUAAUAGAUGUCAGUAAUAAUAAAUGCUAUUAGGAAAGCAAGGAAACAGAAGAUGAAAGAAUAAGGUCAUGUUUUUAAGAGUGUUAUCAGGAAAGCUCUGCUAAGACAGUUAUUUGGGGUUGGGUGAGGAAAGAUUACAUUCCAAUAGAAUUUAAAAAUACAAUCAAUUAAUGAAAAAAAUUGCAUUUAGUAUGCAUGAUAAUAAAAGAAUCAAGAUACUAGAUUGUCUCUAGUAUAAGACAACUAUUGGGGGCAACAUCCUUGGGCAUCCUACCUAUGAGGUGUCUUCAAAUGUUUCCCAAAGGGCCUAUGAAGUGACAACAAUGAGCUCUCCUUUAUGACUUGCUGGGGCAGGUCUGGUUGAAUUGCCCUGGGGAAUCUACCUUUCUAGAGACCUCUCUGCUAAUUAAUCUGGAGGUUUGGCUUGAACAACAAGAAAAAUGAACUUGUAACUUACUGAGAUGAAUAAAAACUAUGAAAGAGUAGUUUUAGUGGUGGUAAUUGAAUGGAAAAAGGAACCAGAAUUCAAUUUGGUACAUAUUAAUUUGAAAUGCCUUUUAAAUUCCAAGUGGAGAUAUGAAGUAGGCCAUUUCAAGACUCUGUACUUGAAGAAAGACAUUCAGUCUACAGAUAUAAAUUUGGGAGUUGUUAGUCUAUAAAUGGAUUUUCAAACUGCAGAACUAGAUGGUGGAUGGCAUAACCAGUAAUAUGUGUAUGAGAAAAGUAGAUGAGAACUGAGCCCUGGAACAUUCCAAUAAGUGAGAAAGAUGAGAAGGAAGCGGCAAAAGAAACCAAGUGUGGUUUUUCAGAGAAGGUGGUCAGUUCAAAUGUGUCAAAAGAUGCCAUCAGGUCAAGUAAAAGGGAGACAGAACUUAUCCAUUGAAUGUGACAACAUGGAGGUCAGAUAAGAGCUUUAAGAGUAGAGUGGCAACUGUUUGUUCUCAUUGGUUGAAGAAGAAUGAAGGGAAAGGAAGUGAACAUCAUGAAUUGUUGCCUAUAAAUGGGAACAAGAAAUGGUUGAGUAGCUGACGGGUUUCAGAAUCAAAGCAAGGGUGGUCGUGUUGGUAGGUGGUGAUUUAUCAGAGUUAUUUAGGAUGACACAUACAGCUAAAUAAAGAGUGAAUUAUGUUGAGAGAACAUUGAAAUAAUGUCUUUGACAAAAUGAGGAAGUCCAAGAGCAGAUUAUUGGCCUUAGUUAUGAGCAAGGAUGCUUUAUUCAUUGUAAGAAAGGAUAAAUUAAUAUAUGGGUACAGGUUCAGAAAGACUAGUAGAUGAAUAAUUUAGUAACCUCUGAUAUUUUCUACUAUCUCAAUUAAAUAAGAGGGUAGGUUAUCAGCUGAAAAGGGAAAAUAUAUGUGGGAAGUUUGUUUGUUUGUUUUUUAAAAAACAUAUUCAGCUACUUGAGCAUAAGUGAAGCAACAGGUUUGAUUUUUCCAAGAAGAAGGUCAAGGAAAGAGCUCU